rnacentral:miRNA from 1 species
GGGCUGGGCUGGGCUGGGCUGGGCAGGGCCUGGCUUCGCCUCCACCGGCCAUGAGUCUCAGUCCUCCUUACCU